rnacentral:rRNA from 1 species
AUUGAACGCUGGCGGCAGGCCUAACACAUGCAAGUCGAACGAGUGGCGGACGGGUGAGUAAUGUCUGGGAAACUGCCCGAUGGAGGGGGAUAACUACUGGAAAAGGUAGCUAAUACCGCAUACCAUCGGAGGUGCGCAGAUGGGAUUAGCUAGUAGGUGGGGUAAAGGCUCACCUAGGCUACGAUCCCUAGCUGGUCUGAGAGGAUGACCAGCCACACUGGAACUGAGACACGGUCCAGACUCCUACGGGAUGCAGCAGUGGGGAAUAUUGCACAAUGGGCGCAAGCCUGAUGCAGCCAUGCCGCGUGUAUGAAGAAGGCCUUCGGGUUGUAAAGUACUUUCAGCGGGGAGGCGUUACCCGCAGAAGAAGCACCGGCUAACUCCGUGCCAGCAGCCGCGGUAAUUC